CCUACGUGUGGCAGCAGUGGUGAAUAUUGCACAAUGGGGGAAACCCUGAUGCAGCAACGCCGCGUGAGUGAAGAAGGUUUUCGGAUUGUAAAGCUCUUUUAGCAGGGAAGAGGGAGGACGGUACCUGCAGAGGACGCCACGGCUAACUACGUGCCAGCAGCCGCGGCAAUACGUAGGGCGCCAGCGUUGUUCGGAAUAACUGGGCGUAAAGUAUGCGUAGGCGGUUGAACAAGUCAGAUGUGAAAUCUAUAGGCUCAACCUGUGGAAAGCAUAGAAAACUGGUAAGCUAGAGUGCAGGAGAGGUAAGUAGAAUUCCUAGUGUAGCGGUGAAAGGCGUAGAGAUUAGGAAGAACACCAGUGGCGAAGGCGACUUACUGGACUGAAACUGACGCUGAGGCACGAGAGCAUGGGGAGCAAACAGGAUUAGAUACCCUUGUAGUC
rnacentral:rRNA from 1 species